rnacentral:lncRNA from 1 species
GUGCGGGUAUUUCUGGCUUCAAGAUUUGGACAUGGUUUUAGCACAUAAACUAGUGUAUUUUGGUAGGCUGAAGCUUGGACAGGGAUAUAUGGUCUUGGAGGAUUUUGGUAUGCUGGGGAUCGAUGUGGAUUGUAAUGUGGCUGAGUAUUAUACAUUAGAAUGUGUACAAUAAUUUGGGGGGUUGUUAGGGUAAUGGUGGGAAGAAUUUCCAGGUUGGUAGUAUGGUGUGACAACUGUGACAUCUUUCCUUUUUUUUCUUAUUACCAUUAAUGAAACUUGAUUGUAUGGCCUUACUUAUGGCUUGUAGUGCAACCAU